AGGGCUACUCAUCAUGCGCUAGAAAGUAUAGAUUACUCUGGGAGUUUAAACUGUGAGACAGAAUUGAUAGUCAGCUUGGAUAUGGAUGCAACCACAUUUGUAGCUAAGUAUGAUAUCUAUAAAUGUUCAAAUAUGUAAGACACUCAGAUCGGAUCUGGAUGCUAAAACGUUUACAUCUGACUCGGAUCAAUGUCUGGAUUUGUGAAGUAGAAACUAAGUUGUGAGCAGAAAGUGACUUGUCCAGCAAUACAAAAAAAAUGAUGAAUGAAAUAAACAAAAGAAAAUGCUGGAAAGUCGCCCAUCAGGUCUUGGGCAUUACACUACUUAAGCCUAGAGAAGAUCACUGUUCGGACUGGGAAUUGUUCAUUAAACUUAUACUACUUUAUCAUGGUUAGAAGUAAUAGCUUCGUGUGUAUGAUGAUGUGAAGACUAAUGCAUAUUGAUUAAAGUGAUGAAAGCUGGUUCUCCAGCCAAUGCGGCGAGCCAAUGGGUUGACUAUUUCAUUGACUUCUAAGUCAUCUUAGACGGAUCUUCUCUUGAUAUGGUACAUGGUUGUCACACUCUCCUCUGGUCAACACAAGUCAAGGUUGUAAAUAUUCGGGAAAGGUUUUAAAAAGUAUUUUUAACUGGGCAUGUUCUUGUCUCACUUAAAAUUCCCUCACUAAGUCCUGAGGACAUAAAUAUCUGGCUUGGUCUGUGUUUAAAUGUUUUCGGUGUUACAUGAAGAGCACUAAAUCACAAUUGGGCUAAAAUUGGGUCAUUUGGGCCGCUAAUGUG
rnacentral:lncRNA from 1 species